CCAGGUGCCCGAUGACCAAGACUUUCGCAGCUUCCGGUCAGAGUGUGAGGCUGAGGUGGGCUGGAACCUGACCUAUAGCAGGGCUGGGGUGUCUGUCUGGGUGCAGGCUGUGGAGAUGGAUCGGACGCUGCACAAGAUCAAGUGCCGGAUGGAGUGCCGUGAUGUGCCAGCCGAGACACUCUACGACGUCCUACACGACAUUGAGUACCGCAAGAAAUGGGACAGCAACGUCAUUGAGACUUUUGACAUCGCCCGCUUGACAGUCAACGCUGACGUGGGCUAUUACUCCUGGAGGUGUCCCAAGCCCCUGAAGAACCGUGAUGUCAUCACCCUCCGCUCCUGGCUCCCCAUGGGCGCUGAUUACAUCAUUAUGAACUACUCAGUCAAACAUCCUGCUCCUUACCCAAGUGGGUGGUGAAUAAAUCUUCUCAGUUCCUGGCUCCCAAGGCCAUGAAGAAGAUGUACAAGGCGUGCCUCAAGUACCCCGAGUGGAAACAGAAGCACCUGCCUCACUUCAAGCCGUGGCUGCACCCGGAGCAGAGCCCGUUGCCGAGCCUGGCGCUGUCGGAGCUGUCGGUGCAGCAUGCGGACUCACUGGAGAACAUCGACGAGAGCGCGGUGGCCGAGAGCAGAGAGGAGCGGAUGGGCGGCGCGGGCGGCGAGGGCAGCGACGACGACACCUCGCUCACCUGAGCGCCGCACCGCUUCAGGGACGGAGACAGGACCGGGCGAGCCCUGGGGCGGUGG
rnacentral:sRNA from 1 species